CCUACGGGAGGCAGCAGUGAGGAAUAUUGGUCAAUGGGCGCGAGACUGAACCAGCCAAGUAGCGUGAAGGAUGACUGCCCUACGGGUUGUAAACUUCUUUUAUAAAGGAAUAAAGUGAGGCACGUGUGCCUUUUUGUAUGUACUUUAUGAAUAAGGAUCGGCUAACUCCGUGCCAGCAGCCGCGGUAAUUCGGAGGAUCCGAGCGUUAUCCGGAUUUAUUGGGUUUAAAGGGAGCGUAGAUGGGUUGUUAAGUCAGUUGUGAAAGUUUGCGGCUCAACCGUAAAAUUGCAAUUGAUACUGGCAGUCUUGAGUACAGGUGAGGUAGGCGGAAUUCGUGGUGUAGCGGUGAAAUGCUUAGAGAUCACGAAGAACUCCGAUUGCGAAGGCAGCUUACUAAACUGCCACUGACAUUGAUGCUCGAAAGUGUGGGUAUCAAACAGGAUUAGAUACCCGGGUAGUC
rnacentral:rRNA from 1 species